GGUAAGGUGGCCGAGUGGUUAAGGCGAUACACUCGAACUUUCGUUACGUAAUGUAUUGGAUUCGUCCGCAGAGGUUCGAAUCCUCUCCUUAUCG
rnacentral:tRNA from 1 species